UACGUAGGGGGCAAGCGUUAUCCGGAAUCAUUGGGCGUAAAGCGCGUGUAGGCGGCUUUGCAAGUCGGGUGUGAAAGCCCUCAGCUCAACUGAGGAAGUGCGCCCGAAACUGCAGAGCUUGAGUGCCGGAGAGGGUGGCGGAAUUCCCCAAGUAGAGGUGAAAUUCGUAGAUAUGGGGAGGAACACCGGUGGCGAAGGCGGCCACCUGGACGGUAACUGACGCUGAGACGCGAAAGCGUGGGGAGCAAACAGG
rnacentral:rRNA from 1 species